rnacentral:rRNA from 1 species
AUUGUUUUUAUUAAAUAAAGUAUUAUUAAAUUUUAUUAUUAUUAAGAAAAAAUUAUAAUUAUUAUAAAUUAUUAGUAUUGUGAAAGAAUAUUGAAAUAUAUUAAAUAUUAAUUAAUAAAAAGAAAAAUUUAUAAUUUGUACCUUGUGUAUCAGGGUUUAUUAAUUAAAAAUUAAAUUUUUAAUUUUCUCGAUUUUGAAAGAGUUAAAAAGUUAUAUAUUUUAUUGUAGAAUAAAUAUUUAAAAUAUCUUUUUAGAAAUGAAACGUUAUUCGUUUUCAAAUAUAUCUAGUUUUUUAAGAAAAGAAUUAAAUUCUUUAAUUUAUUAUUAAAAUUUUGAUUUAUUAAUUUUUUAAAAUAAAUUAAAAAAAAAUUGGGGAUAAGCUUAAUUUUUAAUUAUUAUAAUUUAUUAAUAAAAAAAAUUAUAUUAGGAUUAGAAUUUUUCAUUUAAUAUGUUAUAAUUAAAAUUUUUAUAAAAAUUAUUUUUAUAUAAUUUAAUUAAUUUAUUAAAAAAAUUUAUUUAAUUUUUAAAUAAAUGGUAUUAUGAUAAAAUUAGUAAAAAUAUUUGUUAAUUAUGAUUAAUUAAAAGUUAAAGUUAAGGAAUUCGGCAAAAUAAGUUUUCGCCUGUUUAUUAAAAACAUGUCUUUUUGAUUAUAAUUUAAAGUCUAAUCUGCCCACUGAAUAUUAAAGGGCCGCAGUAUUUUGACUGUGCAAAGGUAGCAUAAUAAUUAGUUUUUUAAUUGAAAGCUGGAAUGAAUGAUUGAACGAGAAAAAUUCUGUCUCAAUUUUAAUUUUUUGAAUUUUAUAUUUAAGUUAAAAAGCUUAAAUAAUUUUAAAAGACGAGAAGACCCUAUAGAGUUUUAUAUUAUAAAUUUAUAAAAUUUAUAGAAUUUUUAUUUUUAUUAAAUUAAGUAAUAUUUUAUUGGGGUGAUGAAAAAAUUUAUUAAACUUUUUUUAAUAUAAACAUUUAUUUAUGAUUUGUUGAUCCAUUAUUUAUGAUUAAAAGAUUAAAUUACCUUAGGGAUAACAGCGUAAUUUUUUUUAAGAGUUCUUAUCAAAAAAAAAGAUUGCGACCUCGAUGUUGGAUUAAAAUUAAUUUUUGGUGUAGAAGCUAAAAAUAUUAGGUCUGUUCGACCUUUAAAAUUUUACAUGAUCUGAGUUUAAACCGGCGUGAGCCAGGUUGGUUUCUAUCUUUAAAAAUUUAAUAAUAUUUUAGUACGAAAGGACCAAAUAUUAGUAUUUUAUAUUUAUUAA